GCUUUUUGGGUACAUGACAAAUACAUGUCUCUGUAUUUCCUCAUCAGGACACAGAGAAUCAUAACUCAAUUUAUUUUCCAUUUUGAGAGUGUUAAGUAGCUGUUAUCAAUAACAUAAAUGAAGAGUACUGUAACAUAAUUCUUCCAUAGAAAGACAUUUGAAGAAGUUUCUUUCAGAUGAGAAGGCUUCCCAAUUCACAGUCUCCAGGGGUUUCUUUUUCAUGUAAAAAACUCCCCAUUUCAAUACCCAGAGCUGAGCUGUUCUAGCUUUGACUUACUGGUGUGUUAAAAAAUUUUUGGCACUUGAAAGCAGAACAUAUAAAACUGAUUGGUGUUGAAGCUUAGUUUGGGGAAGAAAAUAAUUUCAUAUCUGAUCUCUUGCUCAGCUUUUGUGCUUGGGAGGUCUCUGGCUUACUAUAAAAAUCAGAUAAAAUUGGCUGCCAAAAUCAAGAGUCAUAACAAUCCAUUUAAGAAACUUGCCAGAUUUGCUGGAAGAUCUAUCACUUGAUCCUCAGACUUUGCUCUCUCUGUCACUCAGUAACACAAUAUUGUGUUCUUUGUUGGGUUUGCUUCUUCCCAUACCCAGCAAGGCCAUUUCUGUUGUCCUGUGGGAGAGUUUAUGGCCCUUGCUUGGUUGCUGUGACUAAGGACCCUGCUUCACCCCAGCAGGCUGAACCUGCUCUUUGCCAUGUCACUUCACCAUCAAAUUGCUGGAUGUGUUCUCUGGUACAGCAGGCAGAGCUGAGCCCUGCUGCAAACCCAUCACCUGAGCCAGAGCUGCCUCCAGAGAUGGAUGUGCAUGGAGCUUCAGAGCUGCUUUAAUCAGAGAGUUUCAUAUUCAUGAGCCCCUGAGAAAAGGGAGCUGGGUAAUUAAGAUCAUUCAUAAUGCUGGAGGAUAUUCAGGCUAAGAAAAGGAAGUGUGAAAAUCUCCAGGAAGUUUCUGUGUCCAAUGGCCUGUACCAGGUUCCUGAAUCAGUCACCAGUUCAAGUGUUUUGUGAAAGUGGAAAGAAUAUUUUCAGGUUAAUCACCUGGAAUGAGCUCUCUAGGUGGGGCUGAGGGAUUUGUUUGGGGUUUAGAUUUACACAGAUGCUCCUGCACUUGAUUUUGUAUUGAAAUACAAAUAGUUGCUUCCUAAAUUUGAUUUUGAUGUACUGUUCUUCUUUCCAGUCUCAUAGUUUCUGUCCUCAAAAGCACUCAUUGGCAGUGUCAGGGGAGGCUCACUGGAGGUCUCUUUGAUAUUGUACUUUAGAAAAUGUCACUUCAUUUUUUGCUGUGUUCAAUUCUACACCUGGGACAAACACUGUUCCAGGUUACACUGGGAGACCUGUAAAGCUGGUAUAAUUGGAUAUGGAAGUGCUUAAAUCUCUGCACAGUGAGGCAGAGAGAAAAACACUGUUCUAAAGCUUUUGCAUGAGUGUCCAGUUUGAGCUUUAGGUGUCUGCUUUGGGAUCAGGUGAGAUUAAAGAGCUGCUUUGGUGAGAGCUCUCCAAGCUCAGUUGAAUGAUUUCCCUGGCUCUGCACUAGGCUCCAAUCAGAGUUCAGUCUUAUUCUGCAGCAAACCCCCACCCCGAACACCAGGAAAACUUCAAUUUCACAAAAAUAAUGAUAUUGUAUCUGAUUCUCUUGUCAAGUUCUAAACAAGAUUGUUCUUGAUUUGCAAAACUUACCAGGAUGCUGAUAAAUGGCUUGUCACACCUUAUUGUUCAUGUAUUCACUGCUUGGAAAAGGAAUCCAAUGUUUAACUCACAGAGAAGUCAGAUUUUUAAGGAGGCCUGAGAUUCUCUGAAGGAAGACACUGUUGUAUAGGAUUGUCUGAAUAAACUGCAUGUUUCAUUCAGAAAAUUUACAGCAGCUGAGAAAGAAUAAAUGUCUGUGACACACCGAAACACAGAAAAUUACAUUUUAAGAAAAAUAAGUUCUAAACAUUUUUCUUGAUGUCUAAAUCCAGUGAUGGUUUAACAACCAAGUCUGUUCUCAGGCCUAGAGAAAUACCUUUGCAAAAUCUUAGGGUUAGAUGCUUUGCAAAGCAUAAAUGAGCAAACAAGAAUGAUGGUGUGAAAGACAUUAUUCAGUAAUUAAGGUUUUAAGUGAAAGCUAAAAUAUUUUGCCAUAGAAUUUUCCAUGAAUUUUAAUGGAAGAUGCAUGGUUAAAUCACCUAUACUUCAACCUUUAUUUUCAUUAGGAGCUCUACCACUGCCUUCUCUCCCUUCACUGAGGUUUUUGUAGUUUUCUUUUUCCUUUUUCUGGUCCAGACAAAUACCACAGUGAUGAAUAUGUUAGAAUAGCUUCUAAAAUAAUUGAAUAUCCAUAGUUUUUCACUAUUUCCCCCUCCCUGUACUUUACCUGCUCUUACAAACAGAUAACCAAUAGCCAAAACAGUUCUCUUUUUUAAAUGAAGACUCCAGGCAAAAACUGUCCAGGAGAUACCAAACAGUUCAAAUAAUUUAUUUAACAGUAACUCAUUUGUUUGUAUUCUUAUCUGUCAGUUGUGGAAAGAGGGAGAAACACCAAAGUACUAUGGCAUAGUAUUUUUUUUUAAUGACAUUUGUGCUUUAACCUCAAAUGGGAGAAUUUCCCAUCUGGACAAAUAUCCUGUCCACUUGGACCUACCCCAGUAUGAGGCACUCUACGUUUCUGUUAGAAGUUUUAACAUUUUGGGGUUUGUUCUAAAGAAAUGCUUUAGUGUGUUUAACUUCUUAAGCCAUUUCAGGACAAAGAAACAACUUCAAACUGUCCAAGCCUUUUCUAAUAUUAGAUUUUAUAGGUAGGUGGAGCAGUACCUUUUUGUUUUUGAAAGCAAUAUCUUCUAAAAUGCAUUUUUAAGUAGUUUUCUAAACAUUAAACUUAUAAUUGCCAAGUUAUAUGAAGAUUUUAUAACAAUAAACUUAUAAUUGCCAGAUUAUAUGAACAUUAUAUAACAUUAAACUGCUAAUUGCCAAAUAAUAUGAAGUGCAGCUAGGAACUGUUUGCUUAAAACAAAUAACAAGCUAUUAGCAAACAGUAUCUAGCUGUACUUCAUAUAAUUUUGGUGAAUAGAGAGAGAGAACUAAGAUUUUAUCUGAAGAGUUGUGCUUUGGAAGGAGAUCAAAAAGAGUUCAUCUUCUGACUGCUAUUUUGUUUUGCUUCAAUGUUUUUUUUCAGGAGGAUCUGGAUUAUUACAUCUGAAUAGAAAAAAUCUUUUCCCAAUGAUCUGAAAGCAAAAUGUAAGACAAACUGACGUUGUAUGAAAAAUUACUCCAUAACUUCUGAAAAGGAAGAAGAAAGGAAUACCCUCAAACCAAACAAUCAAAGAAACCCAUUUUCUUUUGGGGUUUUAUUCUUUCCCUUGGUGAUGACAUUCAGUGGUUGAUUAAUGUUGCGUCAGGCCACGUUUUGUUUAGCUACAUAAAAAUCUUUCUGCAAACUCUCCCCGUGCCUUUGUGGAUGGUGACAAGAGCUUGGAUUCUCCUGGUGAUGAACAGCCCUGGGGCUGUUCUCAGUGCGCUGAGUGAUGCUCUGAUUGUCCAUUCUCCUCAGGCAACAUCAGAAGCGAGUGCUUUCUGUGGAGUGUUUCUUGUGCCAGAGGAUGUGCAUCACUCUCCCAGCAGCUUGGCUUCUCUCCUUCAUUGAGAUUCAUUUGGAUCUGCAAGCUGUCCCCUGAGCAUGAACACUCUGUGCAACUGGAGAUGCCUCGUUCCCUUCUAAUCUCUCUCCCCUUUUAUUAUUAUGCUGUUUGUACAAGGCAGGGUUCAUCUUCAGAAUUUUAUAGAUCAGUCUCCAGAAAUUACAUUUGAAAGUUUAUUGAUCUGAUGGAUUUUGAAUACUCUAGAUUUUUCGCCUUCAUUUUUAUUGUGUGUUACAAAAUCACCCAAAUUUGCUUCAGAGAGUGGUGCUGCUUAAUUUCAUUGUUAAAUAAAAUUCAAUUCUGGUUUUUUUCUUAAAGAUAAACAGGUUAGUGCAUAAUUUUCUGCUUAUUUUCUCUGUUUUUCUAUCUCUUUUGCAGUACCCGUGUAAAUAGAGAUUCAAAACUUGAAAAAAGAAUUAAGUGCCUUCUACAGCAGAAUGACAGAACAGAAAAGCAUUCACAGAAUCACAGAACAGUUCAGGUUGGAAGGCACUUCUGGACAUCAUCCAGUUCACCCUCUCUGUUCAAGAUAAGGCCAGCUUACAGGAUGUUGCUCAGGACUGUCUCCAGUAGAGUUUAGUUUAUUAAAGCAAAGAGACUGAACAACCUCUCUGGGUAACCAGUGAAUGAUUUGUCUCACAGCAAAAAUCUUUUAACUUCUAUUUAAAUGGAAUUUUCUGUGUUAGAGAGUCAGACCAGUCUUCUUUAUGGUCUUCCAUGGGGUAAGAUUCUCCCCUAUUGGCAAUCUCCUCCUGAGACAUUCUCUUUUUUUCCAGGCUGAACAGUUCCAGUUAUCUCGUCCUUUUUGUAUGACAGAUGCUCCAUUUUUUUUCAUGGAGUUUGAUGAACUCAGUGCCUCCCUUGUGCCAAUAAAGCCAGAACUGAGUACAGCAGUGCAGACGUGGCCUCACCACUCCUCAGUGGAGGGGAAGGAUCACUUCUCUCCAUCUUGUUGGCAACACUCUUGCUGAUGUAACCAGGGGAUUAUUGGCUCUUUUUGCUGCCUCAUGAUCAGCUUUGUAUUUUGAUUUUCCUCACCUGAUACCUGCACACUCAAACACUGUCUUUAUUCCAUCUGAGUCACACAUCCCUGCUUCUUCCUCUUGCAUGUUUUAUUUUCAUGUUGAAGUCAUCAGCAUCAUCUUGUUCAUCCAUGCAGGAUCCAUGCUUGAUUGUUCUCUUGUCAGGACAGACCAAGGCUUGGAGGAGUUAGUCCCAGGUCUCCCUUCUCCCCAGGAUUGUCUGCCAUGGGAUUCUCUCAGGCAGAUCCUGGAGGAAAAUUCUGUGUUCAUCCGAAGUCCUGUUUUUUGCCUUGUUUCCUUCUUACAGGAUCUUGAACUCCACCAUCCUGUGGUCACUGCAACAAAGUUGACCCUGACCUUCACACCCCUCUCCAGUUCUUCCUUGUUGCUAAGUGUGGGUCCAGUAGACCUUCUUCCCUUGUUGAUUCCUGGACGUUCAGGAAAGGAGGCUGACUUGCACUUGUCUAUUGUGGUAAUUUUCUUUAAUUUUUGUGACGUCUCUGCAUUUACACUCCCAACCCUACACCUCAGCUGAUCAGAACUAGCUGUGGUAAGAGCUGUUCUGGCCUGCUGCCCAAAAGUAAUAUUCCAUCAUUUCCUGAUGGGGGAAAAAAGUCCUGUAGACUUGUGGCCAUUUGUCCUCACAUCUAUUUGCAGCUCCUUAUUUCCCUUGAGAAGCAUCCAAGACCAUUUAGAAGUUGAAUUUUCCGAUGUCCUCACUGAUCUCCAACCUCCUCCCCCUCUGUUUCUUGGAAGGACCAUCUUAUGAGGACAAAUCUCCCACGUUGUUUAAUUCCAUUAUUCACUACUCAGUGUCCACUUUAUUCCUACUCAUCACACAGCAUUCUUUUGCUCCUCCUUUUUCUGAACUUACUUGGAGAUCUGCCCCCUGUAACACUUACAGAUGCAUAAACACACAAAAAGUGGGCACUUUGUCAUGUUACAGAUUUUAUUUAGCAGCAGAUUCGGCUAUCAGAUUAUCAUUAGGUAAUGUGCUGACAUACAUACCCCAGAGGGAGAUGAUUGUGAGCUGCUGGAGCAAAAACGAUCAAGACGAGUCUGCCAAAUAUAUGGUAGGUAUUAAUCACCAACAAACACAGCGUUUUUUUCCUCAGAAAAGCACUAAACUACAAAGCUUGUCCUUUUGUCCACAGAAUUACUGUAGCAUGCAGGGAACUGGGGUUGUUUUGACAGAACCAACUUUGACAGCAUAUUGAUCUAAUAAUUUCAGUUGCUUUCUAGCAUUCCAAUGCUUUCUUUUCUCCUCAGAAUUCCCCUUUAACACAUAAAGAUUUUGAUAAACUUGGACUGAAUGCACAUGCAACUUGUGUUAUCUCUAUUAAGAGAUUUCAAAUACAGUUUUUAUCCUCUUCCACUGAUAUUUCCCAUUAUUGAAAAGACCAAAACCUUCUAGACCUUUUCAAUAUUUGGGUACCUUCUUAUGCUUGGAAUUGAACUUAACUUACAUCUUUGUGUUCUAUGUCCACUACAGCAUACAGAGAAUAAAAGUCAAUAUGCUUGUAUGAAGUACUUGAACCUCAAUCAGGACUUGGUGUCUUGAGCCUAGUGAGACUGAGAUCCCAAAAUUAUGGAUAUUAGUAAACUGAGGUUCUACAAGCAUGACUUUAAACUCUUUGUAAAACAGUUAGAGACAUUAGUGUGUGACUCUGAAAUACAAAUAAAUAUGUUAAGAAGAAAAAGAUGGAAUAGAGAAUUAAGACUGUUUUUACAUAAUCUUACACAAAUUUUUCACAAAGUAGAUCAAACCAAUCCUUGAAUGCAGUAGGUAACUCAGUUUUCUACUUCUCAUUCUACCCAUUUUGCCCUCACUACAGAAAUCAGUCUCUUUCUUUAAACACACAAAGUGCUGCACAUGAUGUCAAGGAGGGAGUCUCAUCAUGCUGAUCCUGGUCUCAGGGGCAGAUCACAGUGCAAGUGGUGGCACCAAUAGAGCACAAAGGAAAAAGGGUUUUUUGUUGUUAUCUACUACCCUUAAAUUUGCAACAUGUUCAAAUAAAUAUUUGUGUGGCUAACAGAUCAUUUAAUACUAUGCUAUGGGCACCUCUUAAGACUGAAAACUUGUGAUAUUAACAAUUUGCCACUAGGAUUUUGCAGAGUCACUAAAUAGCACAAUUAAAUUUACAGUGUUCCUUCAAGGUUCAUUUCCUUCCAGGAGAAGAUCAGCUGUCAAACAGAACAAGAGUUGUUCUAGAGAAAUAAUAUAAUCAAUUAGUGACUAGGUGAGCACUUUUAGCCAAAUGACUUUAUCCAUUAAUGUAUUUUUCCCAGCACAGUUGAAGAAUGUUGCUUUAUCAGAAUAGUUAAUGAGGUUAGACUUGAGACCCCAGAUGAAUUUCUAGGUUCAUUGAAGGGAACAUAAACCUAGAAAUUUUGGGAGUUUUGAUCAAGAAAGAGAGUCAGUUCCUCCAGUAAAUGACUCUUUGUUGAUAAUAUCUUUUUCUACCUAAAAACUGCUGAACUAUUAGCAUAAUAUCAUUAAAGCUCUCUUAGUUCUCAUGUAUCAGUCAGCAUAAAGAUUUCAUGUUGUUCUGCUGACAGCAUUGCCAUGACUGAUAAAACACAGAAGUAUGUUAAAGACAUUACUGUUUCCAUUUAGGUUUGCAAGCACAUCUGAAAAGAGAAAAGGAAAGGAUGGCUAGUUAAAACUAUUUUUCCUUCCUCAUAAAAAAUACAGUAGGUGAAUCCAAUGUUGAAAUAGAUAAAAGUAUUAGUGUAUUCUAGCCAUGAGCACAAGGUACCACUAAGCAUUGCCUUCUACAAAACUUCUUGUGUAGGAGACCUCCUGAGAAUGAAUUGGGGAGUGUGUGAUAACAUUGAAAUAAAAGGAUUUGUGUGGCAGCAGCUGGAGGCAGAGACUGAUUUGUUCUCCUGCCCAGUGGAUAUAUACUGACUUCACUGGGCUUACUCAGUACCUGGGGGCCAAAUCCUGUUUUUGUUGAAACCAGUGACAGAACUCCCAAUGACCUCAACAGAACCUGGAAUUAAUGUUCUGUUUCUCUGUGAAUUAUGU